CGGUACAGAGUCAAUGUGGAGACUAUAUACAGGGGGUACCGGUACAGAGUCAAUGUGGAGGCUAUAUACAGGGGGUACCGGUACAGAGUCAAUGUGGAGGCUAUAUACAGGGUAUUACGGUACAGAGUCAAUGUGGAGGCUAUAUACAGGGGGUACCGGUACAGAGUCAAUGUGGAGGCUAUAUACAGGGGGUACUGGUACAGAGUCAAUGUGGAGGUUAUAUACAGGGUAUUACGGUACAGAGUCAAUGUGGAGGCUAUAUACAGGGGGUACUGGUACAGAGUCAAUGUGGAGGCUAUAUUCAGGGUAUUACGGUACAGAGUCAAUGUGGAGGCUAUAUACAGGGUGUUACUGUACAGAGUCAAUGUGGAGGCUAUAUACAGGGUGUUACGGUACAGAGUCAAUGUGGAGGCUAUAUACAGGGUUG
ensembl:lncRNA